UUAGAGGUUUUUUUUAAAACCACAAAUAAACUCACUUUCUCUAAA
rfam:Xenopus laevis strain J chromosome 5S, whole genome shotgun sequence.